rnacentral:rRNA from 1 species
GGUUAAGCGACUAAGCGUGCACGGUGGAUGCCCUGGCAGUCAGAGGCGAUGAAGGACGUGCUAAUCUGCGAAAAGCGUCGGUAAGGUGAUAUGAACCGUUACAGCCGGCGAUGUCCGAAUGGGGAAACCCAGUGCAAUUCGUUGCACUAUCGUUAACUGAAUACAUAGGUUAACGAGGCGAACCGGGGGAACUGAAACAUCUAAGUACCCCGAGGAAAAGAAAUCAACCGAGAUUCCCCCAGUAGCGGCGAGCGAACGGGGAGCAGCCCAGAGUCUGAAUCAGCUUGUGUGUUAGUGGAACGGUCUGGAAAGUCCGACGGUACAGGGUGAUAGUCCCGUACACCAAAAUGCACAGGCUGUGAACUCGAAGAGUAGGGCGGGACACGUGGUAUCCUGUCUGAAUAUGGGGGGACCAUCCUCCAAGGCUAAAUACUCCUGACUGACCGAUAGUGAACCAGUACCGUGAGGGAAAGGCGAAAAGAACCCCGGCGAGGGGAGUGAAAAAGAACCUGAAACCGUGUACGUACAAGCAGUGGGAGCACCUUCGGGUGUGACUGCGUACCUUUUGUAUAAUGGGUCAGCGACUUAUAUUCUGUAGCAAGGUUAACCGUAUAGGGGAGCCGCAGGGAAACCGAGUCUUAACUGGGCGUUAAGUUGCAGGGUAUAGACCCGAAACCCGGUGAUCUAGCCAUGGGCAGGUUGAAGGUUGGGUAACACUAACUGGAGGACCGAACCGACUAAUGUUGAAAAAUUAGCGGAUGACUUGUGGCUGGGGGUGAAAGGCCAAUCAAACCGGGAGAUAGCUGGUUCUCCCCGAAAGCUAUUUAGGUAGCGCCUCGUGAAUUCAUCUUCGGGGGUAGAGCACUGUUUCGGCUAGGGGGUCAUCCCGACUUACCAACCCGAUGCAAACUGCGAAUACCGAAGAAUGUUAUCACGGGAGACACACGGCGGGUGCUAACGUCCGUCGUGAAGAGGGAAACAACCCAGACCGCCAGCUAAGGUCCCAAAGUCAUGGUUAAGUGGGAAACGAUGUGGGAAGGCACAGACAGCCAGGAUGUUGGCUUAGAAGCAGCCAUCAUUUAAAGAAAGCGUAAUAGCUCACUGGUCGAGUCGGCCUGCGCGGAAGAUGUAACGGGGCUAAACCAUGCACCGAAGCUGCGGCAGCGACACUAUGUGUUGUUGGGUAGGGGAGCGUUCUGUAAGCCUGCGAAGGUGUGCUGUGAGGCAUGCUGGAGGUAUCAGAAGUGCGAAUGCUGACAUAAGUAACGAUAAAGCGGGUGAAAAGCCCGCUCGCCGGAAGACCAAGGGUUCCUGUCCAACGUUAAUCGGGGCAGGGUGAGUCGACCCCUAAGGCGAGGCCGAAAGGCGUAGUCGAUGGGAAACAGGUUAAUAUUCCUGUACUUGGUGUUACUGCGAAGGGGGGACGGAGAAGGCUAUGUUAGCCGGGCGACGGUUGUCCCGGUUUAAGCAUGUAGGCUGGUUGUCCAGGCAAAUCCGGAUAAUCAAGGCUGAGGUGUGAUGACGAGGCACUACGGUGCUGAAGUAACAAAUGCCCUGCUUCCAGGAAAAGCCUCUAAGCAUCAGGUAACAUUAAAUCGUACCCCAAACCGACACAGGUGGUCAGGUAGAGAAUACCAAGGCGCUUGAGAGAACUCGGGUGAAGGAACUAGGCAAAAUGGUGCCGUAACUUCGGGAGAAGGCACGCUGGUGUGUAGGUGAAGUCCCUGCGGAUGGAGCUGAGACCAGUCGAAGAUACCAGCUGGCUGCAACUGUUUAUUAAAAACACAGCACUGUGCAAACACGAAAGUGGACGUAUACGGUGUGACGCCUGCCCGGUGCCGGAAGGUUAAUUGAUGGGGUUAUCCGUAAGGAGAAGCUCUUGAUCGAAGCCCCGGUAAACGGCGGCCGUAACUAUAACGGUCCUAAGGUAGCGAAAUUCCUUGUCGGGUAAGUUCCGACCUGCACGAAUGGCGUAAUGAUGGCCAGGCUGUCUCCACCCGAGACUCAGUGAAAUUGAACUCGCUGUGAAGAUGCAGUGUACCCGCGGCAAGACGGAAAGACCCCGUGAACCUUUACUAUAGCUUGACACUGAACAUUGAGCCUUGAUGUGUAGGAUAGGUGGGAGGCUUUGAAGCGUGGACGCCAGUCUGCGUGGAGCCAACCUUGAAAUACCACCCUUUAAUGUUUGAUGUUCUAACGUUGGCCCCUUACCGGGGUUGCGGACAGUGUCUGGUGGGUAGUUUGACUGGGGCGGUCUCCUCCCAAAGCGUAACGGAGGAGCACGAAGGUUAGCUAAUCCUGGUCGGACAUCAGGAGGUUAGUGCAAUGGCAUAAGCUAGCUUGACUGCGAGCGUGACGGCGCGAGCAGGUGCGAAAGCAGGUCAUAGUGAUCCGGUGGUUCUGAAUGGAAGGGCCAUCGCUCAACGGAUAAAAGGUACUCCGGGGAUAACAGGCUGAUACCGCCCAAGAGUUCAUAUCGACGGCGGUGUUUGGCACCUCGAUGUCGGCUCAUCACAUCCUGGGGCUGAAGUAGGUCCCAAGGGUAUGGCUGUUCGCCAUUUAAAGUGGUACGCGAGCUGGGUUUAGAACGUCGUGAGACAGUUCGGUCCCUAUCUGCCGUGGGCGCUGGAGAAUUGAGGGGGGCUGCUCCUAGUACGAGAGGACCGGAGUGGACGCAUCACUGGUGUUCGGGUUGUCAUGCCAAUGGCACUGCCCGGUAGCUAAAUGCGGAAGAGAUAAGUGCUGAAAGCAUCUAAGCACGAAACUUGCCCCGAGAUGAGUUCUCCCUGAGACUUUAAGUCUCCUGAAGGAACGUUAAAGACGAUGACGUUGAUAGGCCGGGUGUGUAAGCGCAGCGAUGCGUUGAGCUAACCGGUACUAAUGAACCGUGAGGCUUAACCUU